CCGGUCGAACGAAUCCGGGAACUAUAUGAACUGGCUGGCAGGAAAUUGGAGUGCGCCACCAGCUUGGCCCGAGCCGGACCCCCCCGAACGGGGACCGGGACUCCACUCGAACCUACCCGUUUGCAGCUCAAACGAGCACCACGGUUCGUCCAACGAGGAUAACGUGGCCCGGCUCAACCCCUCCGUCCUAGCGAACGGACGCUUGAGGGACAACGCUCAAAAGUCGACCUAGCCACCCGACCGGUUUCCUGCAACGCGCGGGAGCUCGGGGGCUAGCAUCGCAACUAGCGACCACGCGUG
rnacentral:lncRNA from 1 species